UACGUAGGGGGCAAGCGUUGUCCGGAUUUAUUGGGCGUAAAGCGCGUGUAGGCGGCUAGGUAGGUCCGCUGUGAAAACCCGAGGCUCAACCUCGGGACGUCGGCGGAAACCAUUUGGCUAGAGUCCGGAAGAGGAGAGUGGAAUUCCCGGUGUAGCGGUGAAAUGCGCAGAUAUCGGGAAGAACACCCGUGGCGAAGGCGGCUCUCUGGGACGGUACUGACGCUGAGACGCGAAAGCGUGGGGAGCGAACAGG
rnacentral:rRNA from 1 species